UGAGUUGAGUUUGAUCCUGGCUCAGGAUGAACGCUAGCGGCAGGCUUAACACAUGCAAGUCGAGGGGUAACAGGUAGCUUGMUAUGCUGACGACCGGCGCACGGGUGCGUAACGCGUAUAGAACCUACCUUAUAGUAAGGGAUAGCCCAGAGAAAUUUGGAUUAAUACCUUAUAGUAUUAUUGAAUGGCAUCGUUUAAUAAUUAAAGAUUUAUUGCUAUAAGAUGGCUAUGCGUUAUAUUAGCUAGUUGGUAUGGKAACGGCAUACCAAGGCUACGAUAGAUAUGGGUCCUGAGAGGGAGAUCCCCCACACUGGUAAUGAGACACGGACCAGACUCCUACGGGAGGCAGCAGUGAGGAAUAUUGGACAAUGGAGGCAACUCUGAUCCAGCCAUGCCGCGUGUAGGAAGACUGCCCUAUGGGUUGUAAACUACUUUUAUAGAGGAAGAAACGGCACUACGUGUAGUGUUUUGACGGUACUCUACGAAUAAGGAUCGGCUAACUCCGUGCCAGCAGCCGCGGUAAUACGGAGGAUCCAAGCGUUAUCCGGAAUCAUUGGGUUUAAAGGGUCCGUAGGCGGGUUUGUAAGUCAGUGGUGAAAGUUUUCGGCUCAACCGGAAAAUUGCCAUUGAUACUGCAAGUCUUGAAUCAUUGUGAAGUGGUUAGAAUGUGUAGUGUAGCGGUGAAAUGCAUAGAUAUUACACAGAAUACCGAUUGCGAAGGCAGAUCACUAACAAUGUAUUGACGCUAAGGGACGAAAGCGUGGGUAGCGAACAGGAUUAGAUACCCUGGUAGUCCACGCCGUAAACGAUGGUUACUAGCUGUUUGGACUUCGGUCUAAGUGGCUAAGCGAAAGUGAUAAGUAACCCACCUGGGGAGUACGUUCGCAAGAAUGAAACUCAAAGGAAUUGACGGGGGCCCGCACAAGCGGUGGAGCAUGUGGUUUAAUUCGAUGAUACGCGAGGAACCUUACCAGGGCUUAAAUGUAGAUUGACAGGUUUAGAGAUAGACUUUCCUUCGGGCAAUUUACAAGGUGCUGCAUGGUUGUCGUCAGCUCGUGCCGUGAGGUGUCAGGUUAAGUCCUAUAACGAGCGCAACCCCUGUUGUUAGUUGCCAGUGAGUAAUGUCGGGAACUCUAACAAGACUGCCAGUGCAAACUGUGAGGAAGGUGGGGAUGACGUCRAAUCAUCACGGCCCUUACGUCCUGGGCCACACACGUGCUACAAUGGUAGGUACAGAGAGCAGCCAGUGGGUGACCACGAGCGAAUCUAUAAAGCCUAUCACAGUUCGGAUCGGAGUCUGCAACUCGACUCCGUGAAGCUGGAAUCGCUAGUAAUCGGAUAUCAGCCAUGAUCCGGUGAAUACGUUCCCGGGCCUUGUACACACCGCCCGUCAAGCCAUGGAAGCUGGAGGUACCUGAAGUCCRUCWCCGUAAGGAGCGGCCUAGGGUAAAACUGGUAACUGGGGCUAAGUCGUAACAAGGUAGCCGUACCGGAGGGUGCGGCUGGAUCACCUGCUUUCUAAUCACCUCCUUCUA
rnacentral:rRNA from 1 species